rnacentral:rRNA from 1 species
AGAAUCAACGCUGGCGGCGUGCCUAACACAUGCAAGUCGCACGAGAAAGGGACUUCGGUCCUGAGUAAAGUGGCGCACGGGUGAGUAACACGUGAAUCAUCUACCUCCGAGUGGGGAAUAACCUAGAGAAAUCUGGGCUAAUACCGCAUAACACUUACGAGUCAAAGCAGCAAUGCGCUUGGAGAGGAGUUCGCGGCAGAUUAGUUAGUUGGCGGGGUAAUGGCCCACCAAGACGAUGAUCUGUAUCCGGCCUGAGAGGGCGCACGGACACACUGGAACUGAAACACGGUCCAGACUCCUACGGAGGCAGCAGUGGGGAAUUUUGCGCAAUGGGGGAAACCCUGACGCAGCAACGCCGCGUGGAGGAUGGAAAUAUCUUGGUAUGUAAACUCCUUUCGAUGGGGAAGAUAAUGACGGUACCCAUAGAAGAAGCCCGGCUAACUUCGCGCCAGCAGCCGC